rfam:Homo sapiens chromosome 13, GRCh38 reference primary assembly.
GCCAGAUGUGGUGGCAUAUGCCUGUAAUCCCAGCUACUUGGGAAGCCGAGGCAGGAGAAUCACUUGAAGCCGGGAGGCAGAAGUUGCAGUGAGCCGAGACUGCACCACUGCACUCCAGCCUGGGCAACAUUCGUCUCAAAAAAAAAGAAAAGAAUACAGGCCUGUAGAAGGAUUGCUUAAGCCCAGGAGUUCUGUAGUGUGUCAUACCAGUAGGGAAUCUGCACUAAUUUGGCAUCAAUAUGGUGACCUCCUGGGAGCAGGGGACCACCAGGUUGCCUAAGGAGUGAUGAACAAGCCCAGGUCAGAAACAGGUCAGGUCAAAACUACUGUGCUGAUCAGUAGUGGACUCACAACGGUGAAUAGCCACUGCCCUCCAGCCUGGGCAGCAUAAUGUGAGUGUAUUU